CUUAUACUCCCUCCGUUCCGAAUUACUCGUCGCAUAAAUGGAUGUAUCUAGAUGUAUUUUAGUUCUAGAUACAUCCAUUUCUGCGACGAGUAAUUUGGAACGGAGGGAGUAUUAU
rnacentral:pre_miRNA from 1 species